UAGUCACGCUGUAAGCGAUGUCGAUUUGGAGUUUGUUGCCUAGAGUGAUGGGCUCCGAAGCUAACGCGAUAAAUCGACCGCUGGGGAGUACGGCCGCAAGGUUAAAACUCAAAUGAAUUGACGGGGGCCCGCACAAGCGGUGGAGCAUGUGGUUUAAUUCGAUGCAACGCGAAGAACCUUACUGGUCUUGACAUCCAUAGAAUUCUGCAGAGAUGUGGGAGUGCCUUCGGGAACUAUGAGACAGGUGCUGCAUGGCUGUCGUCAGCUCGUGUUGUGAAAUGUUGGGUUAAGUCCCGCAACGAGCGCAACCCUUAUUCUUUGUUGCCAGCGAUUUGGUCGGGAACUCAAAGGAGACUGCCGUUGAUAAAGCGGAGGAAGGUGGGGACGACGUCAAGUCAUCAUGGCCCUUACGACCAGGGCUACACACGUGCUACAAUGGCGUAUACAAAGGGAAGCGAAGGUGCGAGCUGGAGCGGAUCUCAUAAAGUACGUCUAAGUUCGGAUUGGAGUCUGCAACUCGACUCCAUGAAGUCGGAAUCGCUAGUAAUCGUAGAUCAAAAUGCUACGGUGAAUACGUUCCCGGGCCUUGUACACACCGCCCGUCACACCAUGGGAGUGGGUUGCACCAGAAGUAGAUAGCUUAACCGCGAGGGGGGCGUUUACCACGGUGUGAUUCAUGACUGGGGUGAAGUCGUAACAAGGUAACCA
rnacentral:rRNA from 1 species